CACUGAUAAUUAAGAUAGAAGACAACUCCCCAAGGGUUGACCCAUUACAGCUAGGAAAAAUACUCUGGUGGUUAUUAACUUCAGUCUUAACAGCUAGUGCACAAUAGUCAAGUCUGAGCCUAUAUAAGGAAAUUUCUCUGUAUGAACAUCUCAGGACUGAAAAAUAAAUCAGCAUAUCCUGCAGUCUUUUCUGACUGACAUUCAUUUUAUACUGGCAAUACAACUUGCUUUCAGAAACCCCCAUGUGACACAAUGUCAGUCAUAAAACCACUCCCCAAUCAAGAAGUGGCUUCACCACCAUCUGAUUCUCCAUCUCUUGUAAGGAGAGUAAUGAGAAAUGAUGACACCAGCACUGUAGUCAGAGAAGAGAGUCCAUGGGUUUAUUAUAGCAAACCUGUCACACUGGUUGUUAUCGGAGGACUCGUCUUCUUCAGUGGUGUUGUCCUUGCUGCACUGCACUUCACUAAACAUGAAGUCCCAUAUGCUCUUGGGCCUGUAUGUCUUUCUGCCGGGCUCAUGUUUGUAGUCAUGGGAGCGGUGUGGAUUCCAAUCAUCAGACGGACAGUCAGAUGCAAGGGCCUCCUGAGAAGGCAGGCACGAAAAGCUGCAGCUGCAAGCGGUUCCUGUGCCUGAGGACCUGUGCUAUUUGCCCUUUGUUAAGGGUGUCAAAUGGGUUAAACUUUUUGGCACUGCAGCAGUUUGUAGAAAAGGCAAAGAUGUGUCCACAGAAUUGAAAUACAUAUCAAACCAAUGCAAUCUUUUCAUGCUGGUUCUACAAUCAAUGGUUUUAGGGGGUUUUUUUGUUGUGUUUUUUUGGGGGGAGGGGGUGUUUGUUCCUACUCCUGUAUUGAAAAAUAAAGAUUCCAGUCCAGCCGUAGGUACGUGUGCGUGUCCAACCCCGUCUGGCUGCCGUAUUUUCUGAAUUACUGGGACCAUCCUCUUUAACCCAGCUUGCUUUUGUGCACAUGCCGUAUUUUGUCCCUUCCACGUGUAGCUGAAGCCCACUGACCAUCUCUCAGACGUCCCUGACCAAGCACGUCGCUGCUCCCGUGCCGUCCCGCUUCAGGCCCGCGUGGGGCGGCAAGAGCGCGCUGUUGCUCGCCCGGCACAGCCCCGGGACGGGCUGCCCAGGCUCUGCGCCGGCAGCAGGGCCAGGAGGAGACGCUGCCCCCGCACGUGGGCGAGGCCUCGGGCGCGUGUGCAGCGGUGCCCGGGGCUGGAGAGGCCGGGGCCGGGCUCGGG